rnacentral:rRNA from 1 species
CAAUAGCGUAUAUUUAAGUUGCUGCAGUUAAAAAGCUCGUAGUUGGAUUUCGGGUGGGAAUGGCCGGUCCGCCGUUUCGGUGUGCACUUGCUACGCCCACCUUGCUGCCGGGGACGUGCUCUUGAGUUCACGCUCGGGACACGGAGUCGGCGAGGUUACUUUGAGUAAAUUAGAGUGUUCAAAGCAGGCCUACGCUCUGAAUACAUUAGCAUGGAAUAACACGAUAGGACUCUGGCCUAUCUUGUUGGUCUGUAGGACCGGAGUAAUGAUUAAGAGGGACAGUCGGGGGCAUUCGUAUUUCAUUGUCAGAGGUGAAAUUCUUGGACUUAUGAAAGACGAACUACUGCGAAAGCAUUUGCCAAGGAUGUUUUCAUUAA